rnacentral:rRNA from 1 species
GAGUUUGAUCAUGGCUCAGGAUGAACGCUGGCGGUAUGCUUUACACAUGCAAGUCGUACGGGAGUUUUUAACUCAAGUGGCGGACGGGUGAGUAACACGUAAGAAUUUACCUUUAGGAGGGGGAUAACAAUUAGAAAUGGCUGCUAAUACCCCAUGUGCUUUCGAGUGAAAUGGAGUUUUCCGCCUAGAGAGAAGCUUGCGGCUGAUUAGCUUGUUGGUGAGGUAAUGGCUUACCAAGGCGACGAUCAGUAUCUGGUUUGAGAGGACGAUCAGACACACUGGAACAGAGACACGGUCCAGACUCCUACGGGAGGCAGCAGUGGGGAAUUUUCCGCAAUGGGCGAAGGCCUGACGGAGCAAUACCGCGUGAGGGAUGACGGCCUAUGGGUUGUAAACCUCUUUUUUCAGGGAGGAAUCAAUGACGUGUACCUGAAGAAUAAGCAUCGGCUAACUCCGUGCCAGCAGCCGCGGUAAGACGGAGGAUGCAAGUGUUAUCCGGAAUCACUGGGCGUAAAGCGUCUGUAGGUGGUUUAAUAAGUCAACUGUUAAAUCUUGAGGCUCAACUUCAAAAUCGCAGUCGAAACUAUUAGACUAGAGUAUAGUAGGGGUAAAGGGAAUUUCCAGUGGAGCGGUGAAAUGCGUAGAGAUUGGAAAGAACACCGAUGGCGAAGGCACUUUACUGGGCUAUU